rnacentral:rRNA from 1 species
AUGGGAACGCGAAGAACCUUACCUAGACUUGACAUCUCCUGAAUAGUGUAGAGAUACAUGAAGCCCUUCGGGGCAGGAAGACAGGUGGUGCAUGGUUGUCGUCAGCUCGUGUCGUGAGAUGUUGGGUUAAGUCCCGCAACGAGCGCAACCCUUAUUACUAGUUGCUACCAUUAAGUUGAGCACUCUAGUGAGACUGCCCGGGUUAACCGGGAGGAAGGCGGGGAUGACGUCAAAUCAUCAUGCCCCUUAUGUCUAGGGCAACACACGUGCUACAAUGGUGAGUACAGAUAGAUGCGAUACCGCAAGGUGGAGCCAAACUCUAAAACUCAUCCCAGCUCGGAUUGUAGGCUGCAACUCGCCUACAUGAAGUUGGAGUUGCUAGUAAUCGCGAAUCAGAAUGUCGCGGUGAAUACGUUCCCGGGUCUUGUACACACCG